rnacentral:rRNA from 1 species
AUUGAACGCUGGCGGCAGGCCUAACACAUGCAAGUCGAGCGGAUGAAGGGAGCUUGCUCCUGGAUUCAGCGGCGGACGGGUGAGUAAUGCCUAGGAAUCUGCCUGGUAGUGGGUGAUAACGUCCGGAAACGGGCGCUAAUACCGCAUACGUCCUGAGGGAGAAAGUGGGGGAUCUUCGGACCUCACGCUAUCAGAUGAGCCUAGGUCGGAUUAGCUAGUUGGUGGGGUAAAGGCCUACCAAGGCGACGAUCCGUAACUGGUCUGAGAGGAUGAUCAGUCACACUGGAACUGAGACACGGUCCAGAGUCCUACGGGAGGCAGCAGUGGGGAAUAUUGGACAAUGGGCGGAAGCCUGAUCCAGCCAUGCCGCGUGUGUGAAGAAGGUCUUCGGAUUGUAAAGCACUUUAAGUUGGGAGGAAGGGCAGUAAGUUAAUACCUUGCUGUUUUGACGUUACCAACAGAAUAAGCACCGGCUAACUUCGUG